UGCAGAUGUCAUGGGAACUGAGAUUGCUAAGAACUUUCCUUACACUAGAUGACAAGUUGUCUUUUGCAGGAGCCUCUGCUGGGAUACAAGAGAAGCCCUUCAGCAUCCCCUUCAUCCAAAGCCAGAGAUCUCUCCCUUAUUGAUUGAACAUCCUUCAGUUCUUUCCCUGUGUAGAACUGAAUGUCUAUCUCCUACUGAAAUUUCAUGUACACAAGGUCAGAAGAGGCUCCUUAAAGCUGAGAGCAAUGUAGCACCAUAAAUUCCAGGACAUGAAACAGGCCCUUUUGAGCUACAUGAAAGGUUAUCCAAGGAGAAUAAGGUCUGAAAUAGCCACAGAAGCAGUCUGUCACACGAUCCAUUCAACUCCCAGAAGAUCUGACAGCUCAGACAUCCUGCUCCUCCUGCAUGAAAGGCAAAGUACCUCUACUCACCAUGGCAUUGCUGAUGGUCUACCUCAUGGUUCCAUAUAUCUUAAUUAGAGGAGAACCCUGGAAAAAACUCAUAAUCUACCUCUCACUGGUGCUCCUGAUUGCUAGGCUUGCCCAAAGUUGCUAAUAGCUUGUCUGCAACAGGGCUUCAGGACAGUAGCAGCUCCUCUACUAGAUGAGCAGAGAUCAAAUGACCAAGGCAGCACAGGGCUUCACAGCUCUGGAUUCUACCCUAGGGAGAGACAGGGCUCUAGUCUGGGAAAUAUGUAUUUUAGUAGAAACUAUUCCAGUCUCUCA